rnacentral:lncRNA from 1 species
CCCCUCUCAUCUUUAAGAUAAGAAGCUAAAUCACUGGUUUCUUCCUGCUGCUUAACUAAAGAAAAAAAAUCAAUAAUCUUUAUUUUCUAAGCAUCUUUCUAGAUUCUGCUGGAAGCUACUCUAUGGUUGACUCAAGUGCUUUCAUAAUAGCCCAGACUAUGAACUGUUGGUUAAAGAUACAGUUGGAGGGACGCCUGGGUGGUGCAGUGGUCAAGGGUCUGCCUUCAGCCCAGGGCGCGAUCUUGGAGUCCCGGGAUCGAGUCCCACGUUGGGCUCCCUGCAUGGAGCCUGCUUCUCCCCCUGCCUGUGUCUCUGCCUCUCUCUCUCUCUCUCUGUGUCUCAUGAAUAAAUAAAUGAAAUCUAAAAAAAAAAAAAAAAAAAAAGGAUACUGUUGGAUUUCCUUCCAUCAGAAUUCUUAGGAUCAUAC